rnacentral:rRNA from 1 species
UGGGGAAUAUUGCACAAUGGGGAAGCCCUGAUGCAGCAACGCCGCGUGAAGGAAGACGGUUUUCGGAUUGUAAACUUCUGUUCUUAGUGAAGAAUAAUGACGGUAGCUAAGGAGCAAGCCACGGCUAACUACGUGCCAGCAGCCGCGGUAAUACGUAGGUGGCAAGCGUUGUCCGGAAUUACUGGGUGUAAAGGGAGCGCAGGCGGGAGACCAAGUCAGCUGUGAAAACUACGGGCUUAACCUGUAGACUGCAGUUGAAACUGGUUUUCUUGAGUGAAGUAGAGGUUGGCGGAAUUCCGAGUGUAGCGGUGAAAUGCGUAGAUAUUCAGAGGAACACCGGUGGCGAAGGCGGCCCAACUGGGCUUUAACUGACGCUGAGGCUCGAAAGUGUGGGUAUCAAACAGGAUUAGAUACC